ACUGCAAAUUACAAAAAUUAUUAUUUUCAUUGUUCGACUUUUAGGUUUUUCUAUUUGAAUAUCGAGUAAAGAAUUGAUAAUUAAAAUGCAACGUUUGAUAAUUAUCUUGUGCAUAGUUAUUUCUGUCAUCGCCCAUACUGGACAUUGUGAAUCCAAUCCUAGUAAGUACCAUAAUAUCUUAAUUUUCAUUAUUUUAGAAAAUAAAAAUCUCGAUUUUC